UCAAGAAACUUCCACAAUGGGCGAAAGCCUGAUGGAGCGACGUCGCGUGAUGGACGAAGUGCUUCGGCACGUAAACAUCUUUUAUGUGGGACGAAAUUAUUGACGGUACCACAUGAAUAAGGGGCUCCUAACUCUGUGCCAGCAGGAGCGGUAAUACAGAGGCCCCAAGCGUUAUCCGGAAUCACUGGGCGUAAAGGGUGUCGAGGCGGUCAUGUUAGUCGUUCGUAAAAUCCGUGGGCUCAACCUACGGCCGGCGAGCGAAACGGCAUGACUUGAGGUUGGGAGAGGUGCAUGGAACUCACGGUGUAGGGGUGAAAUCCGUUGAUAUCGUGGGGAACACCAAAGGCGAAGGCAGUGCACUGGCCCAAAUCUGACGCUCACACACGAAAGCUAGGGUAGCGAACGGGAUUAGAUACCCUCGUAGUCCCUGAGCGGGCUGGCAAGGCGCAU
rnacentral:rRNA from 1 species